CCCCUCGACGAUGAGGAGAUCAUGUCGUACAUCCUCUCCAGCCUCGACAUCAACUACAAUCCACUUGUGUCAACUGUUGCUGCACGUGUGGAGCCCAUCUCUGUUGGAGAACUAUAUGCAUAGAUGUUGUCCUUUGAGA